rnacentral:rRNA from 1 species
CCUACGGGUGGCUGCAGUGGGGAAUAUUGGACAAUGGGCGAAAGCCUGAUCCAGCCAUGCCGCGUGUGUGAAGAAGGCCUUCGGGUUGUAAAGCACUUUCAGUGGGGAAGAAAGUCUUGGGGCUAAUACCCUCGAGGAAGGACAUCACCCACAGAAGAAGCACCGGCUAACUCCGUGCCAGCAGCCGCGGUAAUACGGAGGGUGCGAGCGUUAAUCGGAAUUACUGGGCGUAAAGCGCGCGUAGGCGGUCUGAUAAGCCGGUUGUGAAAGCCCCGGGCUCAACCUGGGAACGGCAUCCGGAACUGUCAGGCUAGAGUGCAGGAGAGGAAGGUAGAAUUCCCGGUGUAGCGGUGAAAUGCGUAGAGAUCGGGAGGAAUACCAGUGGCGAAGGCGGCCUUCUGGACUGACACUGACGCUGAGGUGCGAAAGCGUGGGUAGCAAACAGGAUUAGAUACCCUUGUAGUC